CUGCUGCCUUCCGUAGGAGUUUGGGCCGUGUCUCAGUCCCAAUGUGGCCGUUCACCCUCUCAGGCCGGCUACUGAUCGUCGCCUUGGUGGGCUUCUACCCCGCCAACCAGCUAAUCAGACGCGGAUCCAUCUUACACCACCGGAGUUUUUCACACUGAGCCAUGCGGCUCUGUGCGCUUAUGCGGUAUUAGCACCUAUUUCUAAGUGUUAUCCCCCAGUGUAAGGCAGGUUAUCCACGCGUUACUCACCCGUCCG
rnacentral:rRNA from 1 species